UCCGGUUUGUCACCGGCGGUCCCCUUAGAGUUCCCAACUUAAUGCUGGCAACUAAGGACAAGGGUUGCGCUCGUUGCGGGACUUAACCCAACAUCUCACGACACGAGCUGACGACAGCCAUGCAGCACCUGUGUUCGAGUUCCCGAAGGCACCAAUCCAUCUCUGGAAAGUUCUCGACAUGUCAAGGCCAGGUAAGGUGGGGAUGACGUCGGAGAGUACGUCC
rnacentral:misc_RNA from 1 species